UGGCACUAAGGUCAUGUAAUGUGGUUAGUAUUAUAAACCAUUUGAGCAGAACGUUUAUUGUUUAUGAAUAGGUGCAGGGUGGCACUAAGGUCAUGUAAUGUGGUUAGUAUUAUAAACCAUUUGAGCAGAACGUGUAUUGUUUAAGAAAAGGUUCAUGGUGGCACUAAGGUCAUGUAAUGUGGUUUAGUAUUAUAAACCAUUUGAGCAGAACGUGUAUUGUUUAACCUGUUGGCGAGUGCGCACGUCAUAUGACGUUCCCGUGUAAUGGUUAUUAAAGGAGUGAGCCGUUUUACCUUAACUAACCUCAAAGGAGUAAGGGUAAAAAAAUUGAAUUUUUUUACAAAAAACUAUUUAAUUACUUGUAAAAACACUGUUUAUAAUGUUACAUUAUAUUUUUGAGCAUACUAUAUGUUCUUAGAAAUUUUUUUGCGUAUGAAAAUUUUGAAAACAAGGAAAAAUGCAAAGCGAUACUUUACAUGAAGAACAUUCAUAAGACGUGUCCUUUCGCCGUGACGGGGCCUUGGUUGUGUGCAUACAUACGUAGCAGGGUCUUUGAAGUUUCCUCUUGCGGCUCGAACUCUCAGGUAGUGGGCGGGGGAAAUGGCGACCGGAGAGUCGGAGCGGGUCCUUGGCUCCGCCCACGGGCCGCGAGACAGUAACAGCUGCGUCGCUGUUCGGCGCUAUGUGGGCUUCCAACAACUGUCGAAUUAGAUUCAUGCGGUAGUCCAUGAUGUGAAUCUUUACACUAGGGUUUGUUUGUUUCAUUUUUUCUCUGUAGAUGAGAUAGGCAUUCAAAACUGAUAUAUCUAAUAAAUGCAAGAACAGCUUGACAUACCAUUUCAUAGUUUUUCUUGUUGUGUCAUUCAUUGAACGAAACCAUCAUAUCGGCUCGGUCCACGGCUCCCAUAUUUCUGUUGUAAUUAACAACACAUAAAGGCUUCACUUGAUUUCUGGCUGUUCUUGUAUUUACUCUUACCAUUUCAUGUUUGUCUACAGUUGUAAUCAUGGUUACAUUACGUUUAUCACACCAUCGAACUAUAAGCAUAUUAUCAUUAUGCCGCAGCUCAACAUCUCCUUUUUUCAACUUUUUCGUGAGACAUGGCACAUUUUUGCGUUUAGCAUUCAAAGUGCCACAUGCUCCUGUGUUUUUCUCAUAUAGCCAUGAAAACAGAUCUGGACUGGAAUACCAGUUAUCCAUAUAAACUGUGUGGUUCUUAUUCAAAUAUGGCCUUAGAAUACUUUUGAUAACUUUUGAUGAAAUGCCAUCGUUACAACUGUCUUCGUCAAUAUUUGUACCCUUACCGGUAUAAACUAUAAAGUCUAAGACUACUCCGGUUUCACAGUCACACAGGACGAAUGUUUUGACACCAAAUCGUUUCCAUUUGUUGGGAAUAUAUUGGCGAAAAGAUAGCCUUCCCUUCCAAAGCAUGAGGCUCUCGUCAACAACUAAAUUCUGGUAUGGCUGAAUUAGUGAUCUAUAUUUUCUCCUCAAUGUUUCUAUUACUGUCCUAAUUUUGUAUAGCUUAUCCCCAGAAUUAGAAUUUAUGUUGUCAUCAAAGUGGAUCAAGCGCCUCAAAAGUAGGUAUCUGUCUUGAGAGAAAAUCUUAGAAAAAAAUAGGAGUUUCUAUCAGUGGAUCACUCGACCAAUACUGUUUUAUUGUAUUUUUUUUGCAAUGUGACAUCAGAAGGCUGGUUGCUAAAAAGCAAUAAAUUUCAUCGGGAUUUGUUUCCACCCAUUUGUGAAGUUUGGAAAACUCAGUAAGGACACCUUUAGUGCUUUCAGAAUAGUAUUUGUUUGUCUCGGCUGAAAUGUGGGAAACAAAAUCAUAGUCAAAUAUUUUAUAAAAUGUGUCAAUUUCCUUCCACUCAUUGGCUCCUAAUUCAUCAGUAACAAUCAAUCCGGAACUUGAACUUUCAAAAUUAGCUAUCCUAGGUUCAAAAUUGGCAUUGUGUGUCCAUUUGCAAGUAGAGCAUACCUCAUCUGUGUGUGUGUGUAGUAAUCAUUACUUGGGUGUACAUUUUCAUUUGUUUGUCCAUGUAGGUCAGGUAAAGGUGUACUGACUAGGCUACUCACGUUGAAAGAUUCAUCAGUAGUUUCCAUGCAGUUUUCCUCGCAAUUGGCAAAAUCUUCAUCCAUACUCUCUUCAAAAAUGUCCUCAACAUUAAAAAAAUCUCCAUCGGAAUCCAAUACAUGUCCAUCGUUAUCAGUGUUAUAGCUGCCAUCAGAUUCUAUAUCCAAUUCUCUGCGAAUGGCAUCGCUAUUGUCACAGAUGCGAUUUUCCCAUUCCAUCGCAACGUGUUCACUCACACUACAUAACACUCUACUAUAAUUUCAAACAGAAACAGUAAUUACAAUAGAAAAGUAGCACAGCAGUAACAUAACCACAUCAGUCAGGAGCAGAAUAGCGGCAGAAUAAAAAAGGCGCGAAAUCUGUCACAAGUGGCGCAACUAGUUCCUUGAUUUACCACCAGAUUGUAGCAUGUUACGGAUACUUUUAACCAUGGUAUGUAUGUAAAACUAAACGGCGGUAUCGCGCAUCCUUGUGUCAGCUGAUACAGUCAAGCCAAACAGCUGAGCCUUCCAGCUUGUGAUUUGGGUGUAGCAGAUGAUCAGCUCCAACACACCAUUGACGUCACGGGGCGGGACUUACGACAUACCAUUUAGUUGGAUAUACCGUGAUUUCAUCAUUCAGAUGAUGUUUAAACUAAUGGAUUUUAAUGUAAUCUCUAGACACGUCAUAUGACGAUGGUCCUCAUAUGGGAACAUACGUCAUAUGACGAAGGUCCUCAUUUGGGACUUUUUUCAUGUCAAAUGCGCACCUCGCCAACAGGUUAAGAAAAGGUUCAUGGCGGCACUAAGGUCAUGUAAUGUGGUUAGUAUUAUAAACUAUUUGAGCAGAACGUGUAUUGUUUAAGAAUAGGUGCAGGGUGGCACUAAGGUCAUGUAAUGUUGUUAGUAUCGUAAACUAUUUGAACAGAUUGUGUAUUGUUUAAAAAUAGGUGCAGGGUGGCACUAAGGUCAUGUAAUGUGGUUAGUAUUAUAAACCAUUGGAGCAGAACGUGUAUUGUUUAAGAAUAGGUGCAGGGUGGCACUAAGGUCAUGUAAUGUAGUUAGUAUUAUAAACCAUUGGAGCAGAACGUGUAUUGUUUAAGAAUAGGUACAGGGUGGCACUAAGGUCAUGUAAUGUGGUUAGUAAUGUAAACUAUUUGAACAGAACGAUUGUUUAAGAAUAGGUGCAGGGUGGCACUAAGGUCAUGUAAUGUGGUUAGUAAUGUAAACUAUUUGAACAGAUUGUUUAAGAAUAGGUACAGGGUGGCACUAAGGUCAUUUAAUGUGGUUAGUAUUAUAAACCAUUGGAGCAGAACGUGUAUUGUUUAAGAAUAGGUACAGGGUGGCACUAAGGUCAUGUAAUCUUGAUAGUAUUGUAAACCAUUUGAGCAGAACGUGUAUUGUUUAAGAAUAGGUGCAGGGUGACACUAAGGUCAUGUAAUGUAGUUAGUAUUAUAAACCAUUUGAACAGAACGUUUAUUGGUUAAGAAUAGGUGCAGGGUGGCACUAAGGUCAUGUAAUGUGGUUAGUAUUAUAAACCAUUUGAACAGAACGUGUAUUGUUUAAGAAUAGGUGCAGGGUGGCACUAAGGUCAUGUAAUGUUGUUAGUAUCGUAAACCAUUUGAACAGAACGUUUAUUGUUUAAUAAUAGGUGCAGGGUGGCACUAAGGUCAUGUAAUGUUGUUAGUAUCGUAAACCAUUUGAACAGAACGUGUAUUGUUUAAGAAUAGGUGCAGGGUGGCACUAAGGUCAUGUAAUGUUGUUAGUAUCGUAAACCAUUUGAACAGAACGUGUAUUGUUUAAGAAUAGGUGCAGGGUGGCACUAAGGUCAUGUAAUGUUGUUAGUAUCGUAAACCAUUUGAACAGAACGUGUAUUGUUUAAGAAUAGGUGCAGGGUGGCACUAAGGUCAUGUAAUGUUGUUAGUAUCGUAAACCAUUUGAACAGAACGUUUAUUGUUUAAGAAUAGGUGCAGGGUGGCACUAAGGUCAUGUAAUGUUGUUAGUAUCGUAAACCAUUUGAACAGAACGUUUAUUGUUUAAGAAUAGGUGCAGGGUGGCACUAAGGUCAUGUAAUGUUGUUAGUAUCGUAAACCAUUUGAACAGAACGUUUAUUGUUUAAGAAUAGGUGCAGGGUGGCACUAAGGUCAUGUAAUGUUGAUAGUAUUGUAAUCUAUUUGAACAGAACGUUUAUUGUUUAAGAAUAAGUGCAGGGUGGCACUAAGGUCAUGUAAUGUUGUUAGUAUCGUAAACCAUUUGAACAGAACGUUUAUUGUUUAAGAAUAGGUGCAGGGUGGCACUAAGGUCAUGUAAUGUUGAUAGUAUUGUAAACUAUUUGAGCAGAACAUGUAUUGUUUAAGAAUAGGUGCAGGUUGGCACUAAGGUCAUGUAAUGUAGUUAGUAUUAUAAACCAUUUGAACAGAACGUUUGUUGUUUAAGAAUAGGUGCAGGGUGGCACUAAGGUCAUGUAAUGUAGUUAGUAUUGUAAACCAUUUGAACAGAACGUUUAUUGUUUAAGAAUAGGUGCAGGGUGGCACUAAGGUCAUGUAAUGUAGUUAGUAUUGUAAACCAUUUGAGCAGAACGUGUAUUGUUUAAGAAUAGGUGCAGGGUGGCACUAAGGUCAUGUAAUGUAGUUAGUAUUAUAAACCAUUUGAACAGAACAUUUAUUGUUUAAGAAUAGGUGCAGGGUGGCAUUAAGGCCAUGUAAUGUUGUUAGUAUUGUAAACUAUUUGAACAGAACGUGUAUUGUUUAAGAAUAGGUGCAGGGUGGCACUAAGGUCAUGUAAUGUUGUUAGUAUUAUAAACCAUUUGAACAGAACGUUUAUUGUUUAAGAAUAGGUGCAGGGUGACACUAAGGUCAUGUAAUGUAGUUAGUAUUAUAAACCAUUUGAACAGAACGUUUAUUGUUUAAGAAUAGGUGCAGGGUGGCAUUAAGGCCAUGUAAUGUUGUUAGUAUUGUAAACUAUUUGAACAGAACGUGUAUUGUUUAAGAAUAGGUGCAGGGUGGCACUAAGGUCAUGUAAUGUUGUUAGUAUUAUAAACCAUUUGAACAGAACGUUUAUUGUUUAAGAAUAGGUGCAGGGUGGCACUAAGGUCAUGUAAUGUUGUUAGUAUUAUAAACCAUUUGAACAGAACGUUUAUUGUUUAAGAAUAGGUGCAGGGUGGCACUAAGGUCAUGUAAUGUUGUUAGUAUUGUAAACUAUUUGAACAGAACGUGUAUUGUUUAAGAAUAGGUGCAGGGUGGCACUAAGGUCAUGUAAUGUGGUUAGUAUUAUAAACCAUUUGAACAGAAUGUUUAUUGUUUAAGAAUAGGUGCAGGGUGGCACUAAGGUCAUGUAAUGUUGUUAGUAUCGUAAACCAUUUGAACAGAACGUGUAUUGUUUAAGAAUAGGUGCAGGGUGGCACUAAGGUCAUGUAAUGUUGUUAGUAUCGUAAACCAUUUGAACAGAACGUUUAUUGUUUAAGAAUAGGUGCAGGGUGGCACUAAGGUCAUGUAAUGUUGAUAGUAUUGUAAUCUAUUUGAACAGAACGUUUAUUGUUUAAGAAUAAGUGCAGGGUGGCACUAAGGUCAUGUAAUGUUGUUAGUAUCGUAAACCAUUUGAACAGAACGUUUAUUGUUUAAGAAUAGGUGCAGGGUGGCACUAAGGUCAUGUAAUGUUGAUAGUAUUGUAAACUAUUUGAGCAGAACAUGUAUUGUUUAAGAAUAGGUGCAGGUUGGCACUAAGGUCAUGUAAUGUAGUUAGUAUUAUAAACCAUUUGAACAGAACGUUUAUUGUUUAAGAAUAGGUGCAGGGUGGCACUAAGGUCAUGUAAUGUAGUUAGUAUUAUAAACCAUUUGAACAGAACGUUUAUUGUUUAAGAAUAG